ensembl:snRNA U1 U1 spliceosomal RNA
AUACUUAGCUGGCAGGGGAGAUACCAUGAUCACGAAGGUGGUUUUCCCAGGGCGAGGCUUAUCCAUUGCACUCCGGAUGUGCUGACCCCUGCGAUUUCCCCAAAUGUGGGAAACUCGACUGCAUAAUUUGUGGUAGUGGGGGACUGCGUUCGCGCUUUCCCCUG